CCUGGACACACCAGCAGCGGGGAGUGUGCGCUCUAACGCGCUGUUCAAGCGCCUAGAAGCAGGAGAUUUCGUGGUGCCUCCGUGUCAGGAUUUCGUGUCCGAAUUCUCGACGGCCUUUAGGAGUGAAAAAGCAUGUCGACCGACAGAAACGGACUAUGAACUGACUAUGGGUUGGCCUCCAUGCCCGCGAUCGACCCCUGUGUUGCUUCCACGGUGGUUUUGCCAGAUGAAGUGCUUCGGCUGGAACCUCGCUGCCCAAGCACGGAGUGUAGGCGCACGGACGAGCUGGUUGUCAAGAUGCACAACUCAGCGACGUGGAUAGGGAGACUGCUGAAUUCUCUCUGCAUCCUGCUCAUCGCGCUGCAGAAUAGACGACACUCCCACCCUCCCAAGCCGCGCACAGCUGCUGCGCCUGAUCGCCGCUGACGCGUUACGGCUGGUGGCACUGUUGCUCUCGCCAUCACAUCUGGCCUAUUGGAAAAAGACAGUCUCAGACCCGUGGGCUCUGAGCACCAUGACAGAGGGUUACAGACUGCAAUUUCGUCGCCGGCCACCAUUAUGCUCUCGCCCUACGGUGACCACAGUUCAGGAUCCCGUCCGGGCUGCAAGCCUCUCGCUGGAAAUCAGCUCUCUCCUGGCCAGAGAAGCCAUAGAGUUGGUAGACCCUCAAGUUCACCCCGAGGGGUUCUUCUCAAUUUAUUUCGUUGUUUCAAAGAAAGACGGCGGUUUGAGGCCGAUCUGAGGUCGGCAGAACAGUUUUCUGAAGGUUCUCCCAUUUCGGAUGUUACACACCGUGACUGUUCUCCAUGCGGUCUCCGAAGCAGAGUGGUUUACCCUGGUAGACCUCAGGGAUGCUUAUUUUCAUGUUCCAAUUGUUCCAGAACACAGACGUUUUCUAAGGUUUGCUUUUCAAAACAAAGUGUUUCAGUUCAGAGUUCUGCCGUUCGGCCUUUCACUGGCACCAAGAGUGUUCACAAGAUGUAUGCGGGCGGCCUUAUCCCCCCUCAUGGCCCAGGGGCUAAAGAUUUUACCGUAUCUCGACGAUUGGCUGCUGUGUGCCCCCUCGGAGCAGAGGGCUCACACAGACACACUCAUAUUGCUGCAGCACACGCAGGCACUGGGGCUCGCGGUGAACUGGAACAAGAGUGCUUUGACGCCGACUCAGAACAUAACCUUCUUAGGCAUGGUCUUGGAUUCGCGUCACAUGCUGGCCAACCUACCUCCAGCUCGCGCUGCGGUUAUAUUAUCGGCCAUUCACAGCCUCAGACGAGGCGCCAAGGUACAAUAUUUGAGGCUUUUGAGCCUGCAGGGACUUCUCACAGCUGCUGCACAGGUUGUGGCGUUGGGGAAGCUCCACAUCCGACCGUUCCAGAUGUGGCUCAUCAGUUUAAAACUGGACGCUGUAUGGAACAGACACACACUCGUUCGCAUUUCCAGCAAAUGUUUGACUGCCCUCGACAUCUGGAAAUCUGCACCCUUCCUGCUGUCAGGAGUGACGAUAGGUCAGAUUCCUUCUCGCAGAGAAGUGAUUACUACGGACGCUUCAGCCACCGGUUGGGGGCCUGUUUGGAACCACAGAGCUGUACAAGGAACUUGGUGCAGGCGGCAAGCACGAGACCACAUCAACAUCCUGGAGUUACGAGCGAUAGUGCUCGCCCUGAGACAUUUUCUCCUGGUGCUCCGCGGCAGACAUGUCUUAGUGAGAUCAGACAAUAUGUCAGCAGUCUAUCAUGUGAAUCACUUCGGCGGAACGAGGUCCCGCAGGCUACUGGCACUGGCACAAGAGCUUUGGACAUGGGUUCACCCCAGAGUGUUGUCUCUAAGAGCAUCUCAUGUGACGGGCGCCACCAAUGUCACGGCGGAUGCACUAUCUCGCCGUUCCCUCCACCCAGGGCAAUGGAGACUGCACACAGGUGUAGUGCAGCUGGUGUGGGAACAAUUCGGAGAAGCUCAAGUGGACCUUUUUGCCUCACUGGACACGACACACUGCCCUCUCUGGUUUUCGGAGACGGCGCUGUACAGCCCAUUGGGCCAGGAUGCCCUGGCUCACAGCUGGCCAAGAACCCUGCUCUAUGCUUUUCCUC
ensembl:lncRNA